AGCGCGGUCCUCGGUCCCGGCUGGUCGUAUUGCACAAGGAGAUAUAACACUCCCCGGAGGGAGCUACAUUCUCCGAGUCUUUGUCCGGCCGCCUGAACCGAUGCUGGCCUGAUCGCGGAUGAGUGCACGGCGCGAAAAGCACCGCUGAUCACCCGCGAGCAAGUCUGGUCGCAAGCGCUUCCCUUUCAACAAUUUCACGUGCUGUUUGACUCUCUUUCCAAAGUGCUUUUCAUCUUUCGAUCACUCUACUUGUGCGCUAUCGGUCUCUGGCCAAUAUUUAGCUUUAGAUGAAAUUUACCACCCAUUUUGAGCUGCAUUCCCAAACAACUCGACUCGUCGAAGGGGUUUCACAUAGGUUUGGCGACCGGUCACAUACGGGGUUCUCACCCUCUAUGACACCCUGUUCCAAAGGACUUAAACCGGCACCGUGCCCGAAACACCCUCUGCAAAUUACAACUCGGACCCCAAAGGGUCAGAUUUCAAAUUUGAGCUGUUGCCGCUUCACUCGCCGUUACUGAGGCAAUCCCUGUUGGUUUCUUUUCCUCCGCUUAUUGAUAUGCUUAAGUUCAGCGGGUAUCCCUACCUGAUCCGAGGUCAACCGUUGAAUUANNNAAAAAUCGGGUNNUAUGNNGCCGGUCACGGGAGCGCACUUUCUGAACNNNAGAUAUUUUACNUUCGUUCGUAAGACGCUCCGCANCCGCCACUACUUUUAAGGCACGCCCUUUUUAGGGGGCGAAAAC
rnacentral:rRNA from 1 species